UGCUAAGAGGCUAGAAAAUGGAUUUAUAUAGGAUGGUUUGGAUCGGGAUGAUGCUGCUUCUGGUGGGAUUGGACUAGAUGACCUCUAGAGGUCCUUUCCAGCCCUACUUCUGUAUGAUUCUAUGAACAGUAUAUCAGCUGGAGUCAGUAUCAUAAUGAGGGAGGGGCAACUGGGGCAGCUGCCCUGGGUGCCAACUUGGGAAGCAGAAAAAACUUCACACUAUCGUGCCAAUUGCAGUCAAAAGUUGCAGCUGCCUUUGUGUGUUGCAGGUGCCCUGGGCUCCUGGGCCACUUGGUGACACCUCUAGCUGCAAUGCUUCUCUGUUGUGUCUGGGCUCAGGUGGCAAAAUGCAGGUUCUGCUCCAAACUUGCAGCAUAUCUGUGUAUUGGCUUAUUCCUGUUACUCACUAGUGUUUUGAACAUCUGACACAUGAGAGCAAGUGACCCUCUCAAAGGCUAUUUCCUACACUGACACCACUGGUUUCUCUGCUUUUUGAAAGGCAGCAAUGGAUUGGAGACAGGGAGUCGGGUCUCCUGGGUCCUAUUUCCAAAUUUGUCAGUGGCUUGUUUAACAUUGGACAAGUCACGUGCCUAUUUCUAUAGAAUAUGAUGGCCUAGUUUGUUAAUAUUUGAGAAGUGCUUAGAAAUAAGAAAGGGAAAGGAACUAGAGAAGGACCCAGUAUUAUGUCGUUAUCAGGUGUGAGUGCUUCUAGCAGAAAUAGCAUCAUGAGAAUGAUCCUACGAUCCUGAGCUUCAUUUUGCUAACUAGCAGCUCCUUUAACAGUGCUCUCUUGUAGCUGGCUCUGAGUUUGCUUGCAGGAUGAUCCUAUGUCUGGAUUUUGGCUGUUAACCAUCUCUUUGUACGGGGCAGAGGCAGCAGGCCUGUGAGCUACCACCUGUUGUUAAUCUAGCCCUGGCUAAUCCAUUCUGCACUGUGUCAGCAGUUCAAAAGGGCACUGUUAGUAUUUUUUGCCAACUUCAAUUAAUGUGAGAUUUCAGAGGCCCCCUCUGAUCACAUUUCAUCUGUCAUGAAUCAGGAACAAAACAGACAGAUUCCAGUUGAGAGGAGAAAAGAGAAGGAGUUUAUUGCAAACACAACAACAACAGCAACAACAACCUUUGGAUCCGCUCAGCCAAUGCUGUAGGUAACUCAUCUCAUCUCCAGCAAUUUGACUUCUUUUUUUAAAAAAAGCACCCAGAAAGUCCAACCCCUCCCACCUCCCCUAAACACUGUAAGUGCAAUAACUUACUUCCAAAAAAAAAAAAA